CCUACGGGGGGCAGCAGUGAGGAAUAUUGGUCAAUGGACGAGAGUCUGAACCAGCCAAGUAGCGUGAAGGAUGACUGCCCUAUGGGUUGUAAACUUCUUUUAUAUGGGAAUAAAACGUUCCACGUGUGGGAUUUUGUAUGUACCAUAUGAAUAAGGAUCGGCUAACUCCGUGCCAGCAGCCGCGGUAAUACGGCGGAUCCGAGCGUUAUCCGCAUUUAUUGGGUUUAAAGGGAGCGUAGGUGGAUUGUUAAGUCAGUUGUGAAAGUUUGCGGCUCAACCGUAAAAUUGCAGUUGAAACUGGCAGUCUUGAGUACAGUAGAGGUGGGCGGAAUUCGUGGUGUAGCGGUGAAAUGCUUAGAUAUCACGAAGAACUCCGAUUGCGAAGGCAGUUCACUGGACUGCAACUGACACUGAGGCUCGAAAGUGUGGGUAUCAAACAGGAUUAGAUACCCUUGUAGUC
rnacentral:rRNA from 1 species